rnacentral:rRNA from 1 species
AUUGAACGCUGGCGGUAUGCCUUACACAUGCAAGUCGAACGGUAGAGGGGCAACCCUUGAGAGUGGCGAACGGGUGAGUAAUACAUCGGAACGUGCCCAGUCGUGGGGGAUAACGUAGCGAAAGCUACGCUAAUACCGCAUACGACCUGAGGGUGAAAGCGGGGGAUCGCAAGACCUCGCGCGAUUGGAGCGGCCGAUGGCAGAUUAGGUAGUUGGUGGGGUAAAGGCCUACCAAGCCUGCGAUCUGUAGCUGGUCUGAGAGGACGACCAGCCACACUGGGACUGAGACACGGCCCAGACUCCUACGGGAGGCAGCAGUGGGGAAUUUUGGACAAUGGGCGAAAGCCUGAUCCAGCCAUACCGCGUGCGGGAAGAAGGCCUUCGGGUUGUAAACUGCUUUUGUCAGGGAGGAAAUCUUCUGGGUUAAUACCUCGGGAGGAUGACGGUACCUGAAGAAUAAGCACCGGCUAACUACGUGCCAGCCGCCGCCGUAACAC